AUUGAACGCUGGCGGCAUGCCUUACACAUGCAAGUCGAACGGCAGCACGGGAGCAAUCCUGGUGGCGAGUGGCGAACGGGUGAGUAAAGUAUCGGAACGUGCCCAGUCGUGGGGGAUAACGUAGCGAAAGUUACGCUAAUACCGCAUACGAUCUAUGGAUGAAAGCGGGGGAUCGCAAAACCUCGCGCGACUGGAGCGGCCGAUAUCAGAUUAGGGAGUUGGUGGGGUAAAGGCUAACCAAGCCGACGAUCUGUAGCUGGUUUGAGAGGACGACCAGCCACACUGGGACUGAGACACGGCCCAGACUCCUACGGGAGGCAGCAGUGGGGAAUUUUGGACAAUGGGCGAAAGCCUGAUCCAGCCAUGCCGCGUGCAGGAUGAAGGCCUUCGGGUUGUAAACUGCUUUUGUACGGAACGAAAAGGUUUGGCCUAAUAAGCUGAGCUCAUGACGGUACCGUAAGAAUAAGCACCGGCUAACUACGUGCCAGCAGCCGCAGUAA
rnacentral:rRNA from 1 species